GACGAACGCUGGCGGCGUGCUUAACACAUGCAAGUCGAGCGGUAAGGCCUUUCGGGGUACACGAGCGGCGAACGGGUGAGUAACACGUGGGUGAUCUGCCCUGCACUCUGGGAUAAGCUUGGGAAACUGGGUCUAAUACCGGAUAUGACCGCAUGCCGCAUGGUGUGUGGUGGAAAGAUUUAUCGGUGCAGGAUGGGCCCGCGGCCUAUCAGCUUGUUGGUGGGGUAAUGGCCUACCAAGGCGACGACGGGUAGCCGACCUGAGAGGGUGACCGGCCACACUGGGACUGAGACACGGCCCAGACUCCUACGGGAGGCAGCAGUGGGGAAUAUUGCACAAUGGGCGGAAGCCUGAUGCAGCGACGCCGCGUGAGGGAUGAAGGCCUUCGGGUUGUAAACCUCUUUCAGCAGGGACGAA
rnacentral:rRNA from 1 species